AAAUUGAAGAGUUUGAUCAUGGCUCAGAUUGAACGCUGGCGGCAGGCCUAACACAUGCAAGUCGAACGGUAACAGGGAUCAGCUUGCUGAUUCGCUGACGAGUGGCGGACGGGUGAGUAAUGUCUGGGAAACUGCCUGAUGGAGGGGGAUAACUACUGGAAACGGUAGCUAAUACCGCAUAACGUCGCAAGACCAAAGAGGGGGACCUUCGGGCCUCUUGCCAUCGGAUGUGCCCAGAUGGGAUUAGCUAGUAGGUGGGGUAACGGCUCACCUAGGCGACGAUCCCUAGCUGGUCUGAGAGGAUGACCAGCCACACUGGAACUGAGACACGGUCCAGACUCCUACGGGAGGCAGCAGUGGGGAAUAUUGCACAAUGGGCGCAAGCCUGAUGCAGCCAUGCCGCGUGUAUGAAGAAGGCCUUCGGGUUGUAAAGUACUUUCAGCGGGGAGGAAGGGAGUAAAGUUAAUACCUUUG
rnacentral:rRNA from 1 species